UGGAUCCAGACUUUGAUUAUGGCUCAGGAUGAACGCUAGCUACAGGCUUAACACAUGCAAGUCGAGGGGAAACGACAUCGAAAGCUUGCUUUUGAUGGGCGUCGACCGGCGCACGGGUGAGUAACGCGUAUCCAACCUGCCCACCACUCGGGGAUAACCUUGCGAAAGUAAGACUAAUACCCAAUGACGUCUCUAGAAGACAUCUGAAAGAGAUUAAAGAUUUAUCGGUGAUGGAUGGGGAUGCGUCUGAUUAGCUUGUUGGCGGGGUAACGGCCCACCAAGGCAACGAUCAGUAGGGGUUCUGAGAGGAAGGUCCCCCACAUUGGAACUGAGACACGGUCCAAACUCCUACGGGAGGCAGCAGUGAGGAAUAUUGGUCAAUGGACGAGAGUCUGAACCAGCCAAGUAGCGUGCAGGAUGACGGCCCUAUGGGUUGUAAACUGCUUUUAUAAGGGAAUAAAGUGAGUCUCGUGAGACUUUUUGCAUGUACCUUAUGAAUAAGGACCGGCUAAUUCCGUGCCAGCAGCCGCGGUAAUACGGAAGGUCCGGGCGUUAUCCGGAUUUAUUGGGUUUAAAGGGAGCGUAGGCCGGAGAUUAAGCGUGUUGUGAAAUGUAGACGCUCAACGUCUGCACUGCAGCGCGAACUGGUUUCCUUGAGUACGCACAAAGUGGGCGGAAUUCGUGGUGUAGCGGUGAAAUGCUUAGAUAUCACGAAGAACUCCGAUUGCGAAGGCAGCUCACUGGAGCGCAACUGACGCUGAAGCUCGAAAGUGCGGGUAUCGAACAGGAUUAGAUACCCUGGUAGUCCGCACGGUAAACGAUGGAUGCCCGCUGUUGGUCUGAAUAGGUCAGCGGCCAAGCGAAAGCAUUAAGCAUCCCACCUGGGGAGUACGCCGGCAACGGUGCAACUCAAAGGAAUUGACGGA
rnacentral:rRNA from 1 species